AUCCAGCUGACGCGUCCAAAAUGGAACGAAACGCACGUCAAACUGGAU
rnacentral:hammerhead_ribozyme from 1 species